rnacentral:rRNA from 1 species
AACGAACGCUGGCGGCAUGCCUAACACAUGCAAGUCGAACGAGACCUUCGGGUCUAGUGGCGCACGGGUGCGUAACACGUGGGAAUCUGCCCUUUGCUUCGGAAUAACAGUUAGAAAUGACUGCUAAUACCGGAUGAUGUCGAAAGACCAAAGAUUUAUCGGCAAAGGAUGAGCCCGCGUAGGAUUAGGUAGUUGGUGGGGUAAAGGCCUACCAAGCCGACGAUCCUUAGCUGGUCUGAGAGGAUGAUCAGCCACACUGGGACUGAGACACGGCCCAGACUCCUACGGGAGGCAGCAGUGGGGAAUAUUGGACAAUGGGCGAAAGCCUGAUUCAGCAAUGCCGCGUGAGUGAUGAAGGCCUUAGGGUUGUAAAGCUCUUUUACCAGGGAUGAUAAUGACAGUACCUGGAGAAUAAGCUCCGGCUAACUCCGUG